CCUACGGGAGGCUGCAGUAGGGAAUAUUGCUCAAUGGGGGAAACCCUGAAGCAGCAACGCCGCGUGGAGGAUGAAGGUUUUCGGAUUGUAAACUCCUUUUGUUAGAGAAGAUAAUGACGGUAUCUAACGAAUAAGCACCGGCUAACUCCGUGCCAGCAGCCGCGGUAAUACGGAGGGUGCAAGCGUUACUCGGAAUCACUGGGCGUAAAGAGCGCGUAGGCGGGAUAGCAAGUCAGAUGUGAAAUCCUAGGGCUUAACCAUAGAACUGCAUUUGAAACUGUUAUUCUAGAGUAUGGGAGAGGUAGGUGGAAUUCUUGGUGUAGGGGUAAAAUCCGUAGAGAUCAAGAAGAAUACUCAUUGCGAAGGCGACCUGCUAGAACAUAACUGACGCUGAUGCGCGAAAGCGUGGGGAGCAAACAGGAUUAGAUACCCCUGUAGUC
rnacentral:rRNA from 1 species